rnacentral:rRNA from 1 species
UACGAAGGUGGCAAGCGUUGUUCGGAAUCACUGGGCAUAAAGCGCGUGUAGGCGGCCUUGUAAGUCGGGUGUGAAAUCCCUCAGCUCAACUGAGGAACUGCGCCCGAAACUGCGGGGCUGAGAGGCCUGGAGGGGAGAGCGGAAUUCCUGGUGGAGCGGUGAAAUGCGUAGAUAUCAGGAGGAACGCCGGUGGCGAAAGCGGCUCUCUGGACAGGACCUGACGCUGAUACGCGAAAGCUAGGGGAGCAAACGGG